rnacentral:SRP_RNA from 1 species
GCGCCCAGUGACAGAACACCCGUCGACGAGUCGCUGCUCGAGGCCCCCGCGUGCAAAGCAGGCGGGCUGAUGCUGUUCGACUACCGCACGAUCCACAGGGGGCUUGCCAGCACGG